rnacentral:misc_RNA from 1 species
GUGAUGCCUCAUUUUCCCUGUCAUCCAAAUACACAAGGGGACCAUAAGAAAAUAAUAAGUGUGGCAAAGUUUGUGUUAAUCUGGUAGAGCUCCAGUAAGUGCAGUUAUAUAUAUAUAUAUAUAAAACUUUCAAUGUAAAGCUAAAAUGCAUAAGAAAUUGACUUUAUUAGUUAGGUAAUAAAGCAAGGGAAGCCUCAUUUUGUGUCAUAACUCAUAAAUGUCGAGUGACAACCUUGACUUACCAUGACUUAAAUUUUUUAAAGAAUUUAUCGAGCACUAAAUAUUCAAGUGACUGUUCAUGUAGUUUCAUGUUUGAGAGGUGUAUAACUUUUCAUGAUCAGACACACCAUUUCAGUACACAGACCAUGAUCAACUAAAAUG